GGAAACCUCACCAGGUCCAGACAUAGUAAGGAUUGACAGAUUGAUAGCUCUUUCUUGAUUCUUUGGGUGGUGGUGCAUGGCCGUUCUUAGUUGGUGGAGUGAUCUGUCUGGGUAACUCCGUUAACGAACGAGACCUUAGCCUGCUAAAUAGUCACCUGUUAGUUUAACUAACUUGGCGGCUUCUUAGAGGGACUUUGUGUGAUUAAUACAAGGAAGUUUGAGGCAAUAA
rnacentral:rRNA from 1 species